GUGUGUGUGUGUGUGUGUGUGUGUGUGUGUGUGUGUGUGUGUGUGUGUGUGGUCACUGUAGUGUAACAGAGGUUUUUGUACGACAGUUUCAUUAGAAUGUAUCACUGUGGUUCACUUUUGGUGGAGGAACCAAACUGAUCAUCACCGGUCCCACGGUGAAGCCCUCCGUGUCUCUGCUCCCUUCCUCCUCUCUGCAGCCGUCUGACAGAUCGGCCUCGCUGCUCUGCCUGCUGUCUGCCUACUCUCCACAGGGGGCGCUGGUGAGCUGGACAGUGGACGGCUCAGAGGUGAAGGAUGGGGUUCUGACCAGCCCAGAAGAACACAAGAAGGAUGGUUACACACGCAGCAGCACCCUGACCCUCAGCAAAGAACUGUGGGAAAAGGGGGAGGAGUUUGUCUGUACCGUCUCCCAUGGUGGUGUCCAUCAUCCGCUCACGUUCAGAAAGAGCCAGUGUUAAGACCAACAGCUCCAAGAUAGAAUUGAACACUGAGCUGCUCACACAUCCAUCUACAAUCGAGUUUCAAUUCUACACAAUGCUGACAUUUCUGUCUUUCCUCUCUUCACUGUCCUGUUGCUCUUCCUGUAGUUUUGCUCUGCUGAAAUAAAGCUUCAUUUUGGA